UCAGUGUGUGGAGUGAUGGUCCACGUCGGUGGCCGGCAAGACCUUUGAGAUCAGAGUGGGAGUGAUGGCCCACGUCGGUGGCCGGGAAGACCUUUGAGAUCAGUGUGGGAGUGAUGGCCCACGUCGGUGGCUGGGAAGACCUUUGAGAUCAGUGUUUGGGUUGAAUAAUACUGAGACCUUGUUUUUCCUUAGAGAUUUUAAUAAGCUAAUUAACUUUAUUUUCUUUUUUUUGAGAGAGAGUCUUGCUCUGUCACCCAGGCUGGAGUGCAGUGGCGUGAUCUCAGCUCACUGCAACCUCUGCCUCCCAGGUUCAAGUGAUUGUUCUGCCUCAG
rnacentral:lncRNA from 10 species